GUUAAAUAUUUAUGUACACAGUGUGGAAGGUUUUCAGAAAAUACCAGAAGUUAACUCUCGUAUCUCUGGAAAUACUGAGAAACAGACGGAUAACCAUGGAUGAAGAAGCAUGGGUGCAAAGUGAUAACCUUUCAAGCUGGCAAGUCCCCAGAAAUUCAGUCCGAAUUGAUCCUGAAACUAAACCACAGGCCACCAUGCACUCCGCUGUUCUACCAGGCAGUGUUAUUGAUUAUCCAGAGGACGUACAGGAACAUCCUUCCUGUGUGAUUGAAAGCGUCGUGGAAGACACACCUGAGGAGGCACUUUUGUUAACAGACAGAGGGGGAAACUCAUGGUGGCACAAGCUUGGAAUGAAUAUAAACAAGUGGUCAUUUCUGAAUUCCUUGAUUGGAUGGAGUGAAGACAGAACUCAAGAAAAAGAUCAGUUUACCACAUCUGGAGUUUGUUCUGCUGCUGAUCACAAAGAAACUGAGUUGGAGGAAUGUGCAACCAAAGAAGUGCCAUACAUUCCAUACAGCUUAGCUACACUGCAUAUCAUCAAGAUCACAACAUUAAAAAGGAAGAAGUGGAGGUUGGGACCAAAAGAAAAUUCCAUUUCAAGUUAUUCACAGACUUUUAUUCAAU
rnacentral:lncRNA from 1 species